rnacentral:rRNA from 1 species
CUGCUAUCGAGGUUCGACUAAGCCAUGCGAGUCGAAUGUAGCAAUACAUGGCGAACUGCUCAGUAACACGUGGACAACCUGCCCUUAGGUUGGGUAUAAACCCGGGAAACUGGGUAUAAUACCCGAUAGGUCUCGAUUGCUGGAAUGCAUCGAGAUUUAAAGCUCCGGCGCCUAAGGAUGGGUCUGCGGCCUAUCAGGUAGUAGUGGGUGUAGCGUACCUACUAGCCUACGACGGGUACGGGUUGUGAGAGCAAGAGCCCGGAGAUGGAUUCUGAGACACGAAUCCAGGCCCUACGGGGUGCAGCAGGCGCGAAAACUUUACAAUGCUGGCAACAGCGAUAAGGGAACCUCGAGUGCCAGGUUACAAAUCUGGCUGUCGAGAUGCCUAAAAAGCAUUUCAUAGCAAGGGCCGGGCAAGACCGGUGCCAGCCGCCGCGGUAACACCGGCGGCUCGAGUGGUAACCGUUAUUAUUGGGUCUAAAGGGUCUGUAGCCGGCCGGAUAAGUCUCUUGAGAAAUCUGGCAGCUUAACUGUCAGGCUUUCAGGAGAUACUGUCUGGCUCGAGGCCGGGAGAGGUGAGAGGUACUUCAGGGGUAGGGGUGAAAUCUUGUAAUCCUUGAAGGACCACCAGUGGCGAAGGCGUCUCACCAGAACGGACCUGACGGCAAGGGACGAAAGCUAGGGGCACGAACCGGAUUAG